UGCACUCAUAGCUCAAUUGGAUAGAGUACUUGACUACGAAUCAAGCGGUUGCAGGUUCGACUCCUGCUGGGUGCAU
rnacentral:tRNA from 1 species